rnacentral:rRNA from 1 species
UACGUAGGGGGCAAGCGUUGUCCGGAUUUAUUGGGCGUAAAGAGCGUGUAGGCGGCCAGACAGGUCCGUUGUGAAACUCGAGGCUCAACCUCGAGACGCCGAUGGAAACCGUCUGGCUAGAGUCCGGAAGAGGAGAGUGGAAUUCCUGGUGUAGCGGUGAAAUGCGUAGAUAUCUGGAGGAAUACCGGUGGCGAAGGCGGCAUCCUGGACCGACAUUGACGCUGAGGAGCGAAAGCUAGGGGAGCAAACGGG